rnacentral:rRNA from 1 species
CACUAUCGUUAACUGAAUACAUAGGUUAACGAGGCGAACCGGGGGAACUGAAACAUCUAAGUACCCCGAGGAAAAGAAAUCAACCGAGAUUCCCCCAGUAGCGGCGAGCGAACGGGGAGCAGCCCAGAGUCUGAAUCAGCUUGUGUGUUAGUGGAACGGUCUGGAAAGUCCGACGGUACAGGGUGAUAGUCCCGUACACCAAAAUGCACAGGUUGUGAACUCGAAGAGUAGGGCGGGACACGUGGUAUCCUGUCUGAAUAUGGGGGGACCAUCCUCCAAGGCUAAAUACUCCUGACUGACCGAUAGUGAACCAGUACCGUGAGGGAAAGGCGAAAAGAACCCCGGCGAGGGGAGUGAAAAAGAACCUGAAACCGUGUACGUACAAGCAGUGGGAGCACCUUCGGGUGUGACUGCGUACCUUUUGUAUAAUGGGUCAGCGACUUAUAUUCUGUAGCAAGGUUAACCGUAUAGGGGAGCCGCAGGGAAACCGAGUCUUAACUGGGCGUUAAGUUGCAGGGUAUAGACCCGAAACCCGGUGAUCUAGCCAUGGGCAGGUUGAAGGUUGGGUAACACUAACUGGAGGACCGAACCGACUAAUGUUGAAAAAUUAGCGGAUGACUUGUGGCUGGGGGUGAAAGGCCAAUCAAACCGGGAGAUAGCUGGUUCUCCCCGAAAGCUAUUUAGGUAGCGCCUCGUGAACUCAUCUUCGGGGGUAGAGCACUGUUUCGGCUAGGGGGUCAUCCCGACUUACCAACCCGAUGCAAACUACGAAUACCGAAGAAUGUUAUCACGGGAGACACACGGCGGGUGCUAACGUCCGUCGUGAAGAGGGAAACAACCCAGACCGCCAGCUAAGGUCCCAAAGUCAUGGUUAAGUGGGAAACGAUGUGGGAAGGCACAGACAGCCAGGAUGUUGGCUUAGAAGCAGCCAUCAUUUAAAGAAAGCGUAAUAGCUCACUGGUCGAGUCGGCCUGCGCGGAAGAUGUAACGGGGCUAAACCAUGCACCGAAGCUGCGGCAGCGACACUAUGUGUUGUUGGGUAGGGGAGCGUUCUGUAAGCCUGCGAAGGUGUGCUGUGAGGCAUGCUGGAGGUAUCAGAAGUGCGAAUGCUGACAUAAGUAACGAUAAAGCGGGUGAAAAGCCCGCUCGCCGGAAGACCAAGGGUUCCUGUCCAACGUUAAUCGGGGCAGGGUGAGUCGACCCCUAAGGCGAGGCCGAAAGGCGUAGUCGAUGGGAAACAGGUUAAUAUUCCUGUACUUGGUGUUACUGCGAAGGGGGGACGGAGAAGGCUAUGUUAGCCGGGCGACGGUUGUCCCGGUUUAAGCAUGUAGGCUGGUUGUCCAGGCAAAUCCGGAUAAUCAAGGCUGAGGUGUGAUGACGAGGCACUACGGUGCUGAAGUAACAAAUGCCCUGCUUCCAGGAAAAGCCUCUAAGCAUCAGGUAACAUCAAAUCGUACCCCAAACCGACACAGGUGGUCAGGUAGAGAAUACCAAGGCGCUUGAGAGAACUCGGGUGAAGGAACUAGGCAAAAUGGUGCCGUAACUUCGGGAGAAGGCACGCUGGUGUGUAGGUGAAGUCCCUGCGGAUGGAGCUGAGACCAGUCGAAGAUACCAGCUGGCUGCAACUGUUUAUUAAAAACACAGCACUGUGCAAACACGAAAGUGGACGUAUACGGUGUGACGCCUGCCCGGUGCCGGAAGGUUAAUUGAUGGGGUUAUCCGUAAGGAGAAGCUCUUGAUCGAAGCCCCGGUAAACGGCGGCCGUAACUAUAACGGUCCUAAGGUAGCGAAAUUCCUUGUCGGGUAAGUUCCGACCUGCACGAAUGGCGUAAUGAUGGCCAGGCUGUCUCCACCCGAGACUCAGUGAAAUUGAACUCGCUGUGAAGAUGCAGUGUACCCGCGGCAAGACGGAAAGACCCCGUGAACCUUUACUAUAGCUUGACACUGAACAUUGAGCCUUGAUGUGUAGGAUAGGUGGGAGGCUUUGAAGCGUGGACGCCAGUCUGCGUGGAGCCAACCUUGAAAUACCACCCUUUAAUGUUUGAUGUUCUAACGUUGGCCCCUGACCGGGGUUGCGGACAGUGUCUGGUGGGUAGUUUGACUGGGGCGGUCUCCUCCCAAAGCGUAACGGAGGAGCACGAAGGUUAGCUAAUCCUGGUCGGACAUCAGGAGGUUAGUGCAAUGGCAUAAGCUAGCUUGACUGCGAGCGUGACGGCGCGAGCAGGUGCGAAAGCAGGUCAUAGUGAUCCGGUGGUUCUGAAUGGAAGGGCCAUCGCUCAACGGAUAAAAGGUACUCCGGGGAUAACAGGCUGAUACCGCCCAAGAGUUCAUAUCGACGGCGGUGUUUGGCACCUCGAUGUCGGCUCAUCACAUCCUGGGGCUGAAGUAGGUCCCAAGGGUAUGGCUGUUCGCCAUUUAAAGUGGUACGCGAGCUGGGUUUAGAACGUCGUGAGACAGUUCGGUCCCUAUCUGCCGUGGGCGCUGGAGAAUUGAGGGGGGCUGCUCCUAGUACGAGAGGACCGGAGUGGACGCAUCACUGGUGUUCGGGUUGUCAUGCCAAUGGCACUGCCCGGUAGCUAAAUGCGGAAGAGAUAAGUGCUGAAAGCAUCUAAGCACGAAACUUGCCCCGAGAUGAGUUCUCCCUGAGACUUUAAGUCUCCUGAAGGAACGUUGAAGACGACGACGUUGAUAGGCCGGGUGUGUAAGCGCAGCGAUGCGUUGAGCUAACCGGUACUAAUGAACCGUGAGGCUUAACCUU